CGGUUUUUAGGGUUCCGUAGCCAAAAUGGCAAAAACGGAACCCUUAUAGUUUCGUCAUGUCCGUCUGUCCGUCUGUCCGUCUGUCCGUCUGUCCGUCUGUCCGUCUGUCACAGCCGAUUUACUCGGAAACUAUAAGUACUACAGUGAUGAAAUUUGAUGGGAAUAUGUGUUGUAUGAACCGCUACAAAAAUAUGACACUAAAUAGUAAAAAAAAGAAUUGGGGGUGGGGCCCCCCAUACAUGUAACUGAGGGAUGAAAUUUUUUUUUUCGAUGUACAUACCCGUGUGGGGUAUCAAUGGAAAGGUCUUUUAAAAUGAUAUAAAGUUUUCUAAAAAACAUUUUUCUUAAAGUGAACGGUUUUUGAGAUAUCAGCUCUCAAAGUCGUAAAAAGUAUGUCCCCCCCCCUCUAUUUUUAUAACUACGGGGUAUAAAAUUCUAAAAAAAAUAGAGGUGAUGCAUGCUAAUUAACUCUUUCAACGAUUUUUGGUUUGAUCAAAGUAUCUCUUAUAGUUUUUGAGAUAGGUUGAUUUAACUGUAAUUUACGGAACCCUUCGUGCACGAGUCCGACUCGCACUUGGCCGUUUUUUUUAGUGUUUGAUGAAAAUCGAUUGAGCCGUUUAAAAGUUACAGAGGUUUUACGCUUCAAAGUCGCUGUCAUAUAAACUUGUUAACAUUAAACUCUUCGGUACAUAGAGGCUUGCAAAAAUAAUCUAGUAACUGACAAAAAUAUCAUUAAGUUCACAAUCAUUAGAGGCGGCAAAAAUUGAAUGGCCUACUAGCGGCAAGUUUGUAAAUCCGCCACUG
rnacentral:lncRNA from 1 species